CCUACGGGUGGCAGCAGUGGGGAAUAUUGGGCAUUGGGCGCAAGCCUGACCCAGCAACGCCGCGUGCAGGAAGAAGGCUCUCUGGUUGUAAACUUCUUUUGUCAGGGAAGAGUAGACGACGGUAUCUGACGAAUAAGCCACGGCUAACUACGUGCCAGCAGCCGCGGUAAUACGUAGGUGGCCAGCGUUGUGCGGAUUUAAUGCGUGUAAAGGGCGUGUAGCCGGGUUGACAAGUCAGAUGUGAAAUCCUGCGGCUUAACCGCAGAACUGCCUUUGAAACUGUUGAUCUUGAGGACUGUAGAGGCAGGUGGAAUUUCUGGUGUAGCGGUGAAAUGCGUAGAUAUUA
rnacentral:rRNA from 1 species